rnacentral:rRNA from 1 species
GACGAACGCUGGCGGCGUGCCUAAUACAUGCAAGUAGAACGCUGAAGAGAGGAGCUUGCUCUUCUUGGAUGAGUUGCGAACGGGUGAGUAACGCGUAGGUAACCUGCCUUGUAGCGGGGGAUAACUAUUGGAAACGAUAGCUAAUACCGCAUAACAAUGGAUGACACAUGUCAUUUAUUUGAAAGGGGCAAUUGCUCCACUACAAGAUGGACCUGCGUUGUAUUAGCUAGUAGGUGAGGUAACGGCUCACCUAGGCGACGAUACAUAGCCGACCUGAGAGGGUGAUCGGCCACACUGGGACUGAGACACGGCCCAGACUCCUACGGGAGGCAGCAGUAGGGAAUCUUCGGCAAUGGGGGCAACCCUGACCGAGCAACGCCGCGUGAGUGAAGAAGGUUUUCGGAUCGUAAAGCUCUGUUGUAAGUCAAGAACGAGUGUGAGAGUGGAAAGUUCACACUGUGACGGUAGCUUACCAGAAAGGGACGGCUAACUACGUGCCAGCAGCCGCGGUAAUACGUAGGUCCCGAGCGUUGUCCGGAUUUAUUGGGCGUAAAGCGAGCGCAGGCGGUUUGAUAAGUCUGAAGUUAAAGGCUGUGGCUCAACCAUAGUUCGCUUUGGAAACUGUCAAACUUGAGUGCAGAAGGGGAGAGUGGAAUUCCAUGUGUAGCGGUGAAAUGCGUAGAUAUAUGGAGGAACACCGGUGGCGAAAGCGGCUCUCUGGUCUGUAACUGACGCUGAGGCUCGAAAGCGUGGGGAGCGAACAGGAUUAGAUACCCUGGUAGUCCAAGGGCGAAUUCCACAGUGGAUAUCAAGCUUAUCGAUACCGUCGACCUCGAGGGGGGGCCGGUACCCAGCUUUUGUUCCCUUUAUAGGGGGUAAUUUAUGGGUGUGACCAUUGAUAGUGUGCUCUGAUGCUGGGUGUUGUGUGUGGUGUUGUGUGCGCUGAUGUGGAUGUGUGUAUGUGUGGUGUUGUUGUGGUUGAUGUGGAUGUGUGUAGGUGUGUGUGUGUGGUGUGUUGUAUUGUGUGUUGUGUGUGGAUGUGUGUUGAGUGUGUAGAUGUGAUUGUGUUGUGAUGAUGGAGUUGAGUG